UCUCCCUGUGCCACAGCCACAAAGCUGAUCCUGGCCUCCUGCGGAGGAGCCUGAGCGCCUUCCCGCAGACCUGACGCGACCCCUCCCCAGGUACCUGGGCCUCGGCCUGGUCUAGCGAGUCUCCUUCCUCCCAAGGAGCAGCCAGCGGAGCUCGGGUGGAGGAAAGCGAGGAGGCGACCAGGAGGAUGCCGCCGCCGCCGCCGCCGCUGCAGGGCCCGGGGCUUCUGUAGGGCACAAGGCCUCCCUCACCAGGGUAAGGGGCUGGCGAUCAACCUGGACGCCUAGGACCCUGGGAGCAAGCAUCCCGCAAUUGAGCAGGCGACGGCGCGGCCACCGCCUGGAGAGGAGCGGGGGCCCGGGGCGGCGUGCGGGGCAGUGGCAGCCGGCUUGGCCUAUCUGAAACCCCAGGCCUGGAAGCCGCUACUUUAGGCGUCAAGUUGAGCCGGGUAUGUGUGUCCUCUUGGGGAAAAGGUGAGAAAUGGAGCCGGAGUUUCUCCGCUUGGUAGGGGUUAAGCUGGGACCCACACACACCCCUAAACACAUGCCCACGUGCAAGUCCCUCCCACCCGCCCUCCCAGGGGCGAAGAGACCCUGUCCCGGUGGAAGUGGGGAAACCCAGUCGGGUACAGAAAGCAGAGGCCACGGUGCAGAGAGGAGUCGCGGCUUUCCGGGGCUCAGCCCUAGGGCUACGGACCCAGGGUGCGGAGAUGCUCGCGCCACCCACCGGAGCCAGGCAACCGAUGCUUCCAGGCGAGCUCCGCGGGGCCGAGGUGCCUGGAGAACCGGCCCCUGGCGCCCGCGCGCUGCCCGACCUGGGUAACCGGCAAAGUGGAGCCCCGGGGUCGAAGUCCUAAAGUUACUAAUCCCGCGCAGGGGGAGAGAGCGUGCCUCGGGCCGCCUGGGGCGGUCAUUUGAGCGUGUUUACUUAAAGACUUUGCAAGCAGAGCGCGCGCGAAAUCGUCGGAUUUCCAGCAAGGCAGCAAAUAUUUGCAGGCAGGAGAAAGAAGCGGAGCCGAGCCGCGCCGCCGAGUCCCUCCCCCCUGAGCCCCGGCGCCGGCCUGGGCGGACCCGGCCGCACAGUUAAAGACAGAAAAGAAACCGGGAAUCUGCGAGGCUGGGGGGCGGGGAGCGACACGAAAGGCCAGAAACUGCAGCACGGCCCGAGGCCCUGGCGAGCCGGGCCUGGGGGAGGAGAAGUCCCUUCCCAUUCCAGCUCGAUCAAUCUUGCGGGGCUGCGAUCGGUCAAUAAAAACAGUGUGAAGCG